rnacentral:rRNA from 1 species
AUUGAACGCUGGCGGCAGGCCUAACACAUGCAAGUCGAACGGAGCGGCGGAAGGGUGGGUAAUGCCUAGGAAUAUGCGUGGUAGUGGGGGAUAACGUCCGGAAACGGGCGCUAAUACCGCGUACUAUCAGAUGAGCCUAGGUCGGAGUAGCGCGUUGGUGGGGUAAAGGCCUACCACGGCGACGAUCCGUAACUGGUCUGAGAGGAUGAUCAGGUACACUGGAACUGAGACACGGUCCAGACGCCUACGGGAGGCAGCAGUGGGGAAUAGUGGACAAUGGGCGAAAGCCUGAUCCAGCCAUGCCGCGUGUGUGAAGAAGGUCUUCGGAUUGUAAAGCACUUUAAGUUGGGAGGCGUUACCAACAGAAUAAGCACCGGCUAACUUCGUGCCAGCAGCCGCGGUAAUAC